rnacentral:RNase_P_RNA from 1 species
CAGCUGCGGGCACAGGCCGAAAGGCCGUGUCUGAGGAAAGUCCGAGCUCCACAGGGCAGGGAUAACGGCUAACGGCCGCCGGGGGCGACCCUAGGGAAAGUGCAACAGAGAGAUACCGCCGGGCUUUUUGCCCGGCAAGGGUGGAAAGGCGAGGUAAGAGCUCACCAGCGCGCAGGAGACUGCGCGGCUCUGCAAACCCUAUCCGGAGCAACACCGCAGAGGAACACCAUGCGCCUGCCCGGCGCGUUCCGAGAAGGUGGCUUGAGCGGCGCGGCAACGCGGCGCCUAGAUAGAUGGCUGUUCACGACAGAACUCGGCUUAUCGGCUUGGUCG